CUAUCUUUGACUUAGUUUCUGUAUCUACAAAAUGAAGAUACUAAGAGCACCUAACUCUGAGGACAUGUUUGUUUGUUUUUGAGAGUCAAAUGAAAUUAUAUUUCAAAAAUUCUGUAUAUAGUGCCUGGUGCUAUAUAAAUGUUGGCUAUUUUCAAUACUGGGGCAGCUAGGUGGCACAGGGAAUAGAGCUUGGAGCCUAGAGUAAAGAAGAUCUGAGUUCAAACCUAACCUCAGAUUUUAGCUGUGAAACUCAAGAUUUUCAAUGUGGUGACUAAGUCUAAGUCCAAAUUUUCCACUGUAUUGGAGGUACUCAAUGAUCUGGAAAAGAUGAUUCUGUAUACUGGUAAUAACUCUAAGCAUUGUUCAGAUUGAAAGAAAAGACUCUUGGAUCCUUUGCUGUCAUGCUAAAACUAUGUCGUGCUUUUUCUGAGUUGGGAGCUCAUGGCAUCGUGCUUGGCAUUUUGGCAGUUUGGCAUUUGCAGAUUGCUGGUGAGGUGACUGGGAGAAGCUCUUAGAGUGCUUGGUGAGUGAUUAGGAUGAUUCUUAUUUUCUUUACCUCCUAAAUUAAACUAUCCUCCAAGGAGGCCCUUCAUCUCAGAGGAAGCCUCGUGACUGGAAG
rnacentral:lncRNA from 1 species